rnacentral:rRNA from 1 species
GAGUUUGAUCCUGGCUCAGGAUGAACGCUAGCGGCAGGCCUAACACAUGCAAGUCGAGGGGUAGAAGGAGCUUGCUCCUUUGAGACCGGCGCACGGGUGCGUAACGCGUAUGCAAUCUACCUUAUACAGGGGUAUAGCCCAGAGAAAUUUGGAUUAAUGCCCCAUAGCAUUACGACUUGGCAUCAAGAUGUAAUUAAAGUUCCAACGGUAUAAGAUGAGCAUGCGUCCCAUUAGUUAGUUGGUAAGGUAACGGCUUACCAAGACGAUGAUGGGUAGGGGUCCUGAGAGGGAGAUCCCCCCACACUGGUACUGAGACACGGACCAGACUCCUACGGGAGGCAGCAGUGAGGAAUAUUGGUCAAUGGUCGCAAGACUGAACCAGCCAUGCCGCGUGCAGGAAGACGGUCCUAUGGAUUGUAAACUGCUUUUAUACAGGAAGAAACCCUCCCACGUGUGGGAGCUUGACGGUACUGUAGGAAUAAGGAUCGGCUAACUCCGUG